rnacentral:rRNA from 1 species
GACGGGGGGGGCAAGCGUUGUUCGGAAUGACUGGGCGUAAAGGGCUCGUAGGCGGCUAAUUAAGUCAGACGUGAAAUCCCCAGGCUCAACCUGGGAACUGCGUCUGAUACUGGAUGGCUUGAAUCCGGGAGAGGGAUGCAGAAUUCCAGGUGUAGCGGUGAAAUGCGUAGAUAUCUGGAGGAAUACCGGUGGCGAAGGCGGCAUCCUGGACCGGCAUUGACGCUGAGGAGCGAAAGCCAGGGGAGCAAACGGG